rnacentral:rRNA from 1 species
CCCUUAGAUGUUCUGGGCCGCACGCGCGCUACACUGAUGCAUUCAACAAGCCUAGCCUUGACCGAGAGGUCCGGGUAAUCUUUGAAACUGCAUCGUGAUGGGGCUAGAUUAUUGCAAUUAUUAAUCUUCAACGAGGAAUGCCUAGUAAGCGUGAUUCAUCAAAUCGCGUUGAUUACGUCCCUGCCCUUUGUACACACCGCCCGUCGCUGCCCGGAACUGAGCCGUUUCGAGAAAGCCGGGGACUGACGGCUUGUGGGUGCGCAAGCGCUUCUUGCCGAUGGAAACCAGUUUAAUCGGUAUGGCUUGAACCGGGCAAAAGUCGUAACA